GGCUCAGAACGAACGCUGGCGGCGCGCCUAAUACAUGCAAGUCGAGCGAGAAGACGUAGCAAUACGUUUGUAAAGCGGCGAACGGGUGAGGAAUGCAUGGGUAACCUACCCUCGAGUGGGGAAUAACUAGCCGAAAGGUUAGCUAAUACCGCAUACGUUUCCGGAACUUCGGUUUCGGAAAGAAAGCAAUACCGUGGGUAUUGCGCUCAUGGAUGGGCUCAUGUCCUAUCAGCUUGUUGGUGAGGUAACGGCUCACCAAGGCUUCGACGGGUAGCUGGUCUGAGAGGACGAUCAGCCACACUGGCACUGCGACACGGGCCAGACUCCUACGGGAGGCAGCAGUAAGGAAUAUUGCGCAAUGGACGAAAGUCUGACGCAGCGACGCCGCGUGGGGGAUGAAGGCCUUCGGAUUGUAAACCCCUUUCGGGAGGGAAGAUGGAGUGGGUAACCACUUGGACGGUACCUCCAGAAGCAGCCACGGCUAACUUCGUGCCAGCAGCCGCGGUAAUACGAAGGUGGCAAGCGUUGUUCGGAUUCACUGGGCGUACAGGGAGCGUAGGCGGUUGGGUAAGCCCUCCGUGAAAUCUCCGGGCCUAACCCGGAAAGUGCAGAGGGGACUGCUCAGCUAGAGGAUGGGAGAGGAGCGCGGAAUUCCCGGUGUAGCGGUGAAAUGCGUAGAGA
rnacentral:rRNA from 1 species